rnacentral:rRNA from 1 species
UACAGAGGUCCCAAGCGUUGUUCGGAUUCACUGGGCGUAAAGGGUGCGUAGGUGGCAGGGUAAGUUUGAUGUGAAAUCUCCGGGCUUAACCCGGAAACUGCAUUGAAUACUAUCCUGCUAGAGGGUUGGAGGGGGGACUGGAAUUCUCGGUGUAGCAGUGAAAUGCGUAGAUAUCGAGAGGAACACCAGUGGCGAAGGCGAGUCCCUGGACAACUCCUGACACUGAGGCACGAAAGCUAGGGGAGCAAACAGG